GGCAACCACAAAGAUGUAGCAACUGAGACUAGCAGAAAGGAGGAAAGGCCAAAGGAUGUCAGAUAAUGCACGUACUAUCAAAAUAACUUGUGUCAUCCUCCGAUUCCAGUUGGGGAAUAAAUUCCGCCUUCUGUCUCAGCAAACUGUUCCAGUCUAAGGAGCGGAAGAAACGAUGCUGCUUCACUUCAUAGGCUCCACCUGGACGGGGAGAGGAGCGAGGCUGAGAGGCUGAACCACCCUCUGUACAGGAAGCACCACGCUUACAAACAGUUCACGAUAUUUGUUAGCAGAGAAAUGAAGAAGUGGUGGAGUCCACACUACCUCCCCCCCCCCCCCCCCCCGCCCCCACCUUCUACAACCAAAACUUGAAAAAAAAAAUUUCUAGACUUUAUCAGCAGGAAAUCAGAUUUUGCUAACAGCGGUUGCUAUAGCACAGAUUUUUCUCAGUUAAUUUUUCUACGACUUCUUCCAUUUUUCAAAGGUUAAUGACAGGGCCACUUAAAAUCACAUUAUACUGAACCUGGGGACAUGGACGCACGUUGGCCCAAAAACAGACUUGCUCAUUACAAACCCUGAAGAUCCUAACAAGGUGCAAAAUGUGCUUACAGCAAGAUUUCUUCUGGAGGGAAGGUUAAUAAUGAUGGAUUUUUCCUAAAUAUUAUAUAAAGUUUUCCAUUCAGUUUU
ensembl:antisense 1700099I09Rik RIKEN cDNA 1700099I09 gene